GGUGCCUCCACUGUCCGGGCUCUAGCCCCGCCCCUCCCCCGCCCCGCCCCGCCCCCGCCCCGCCCACCGGCCUCGCAGUCGACGCGGACGCCGAUCUUGUGCAUGGAGUCGCCAUUUUGCUCUUAGAGACGCCGCCAGGAGACCCAGCGCUUUCUUCCUUCUGCAGCCGAGGCUGCGGCGGGGCCGGGGCUGGGGUCGGGGCCAGGAGGAAUUUUGUUGUCAGAGAAUAAAAGGAGGUUGUCCAUAAUUGACUUUAAGCAGCAAUCAGUAAAACAUUGAGCUCUUCAGCUCCGCCUUUCUUGCUCUGGAAAUUGGAAAACCAAGAAGGUUUUGAUGUUUUGUGUGACGCCACCUGAAUUAGAAACCAAGAUGAACAUAACCAAAGGUGGUCUGGUGUUGUUUUCAGCAAACUCAAAUUCUUCAUGUAUGGAGCUCUCAAAGAAAAUUGCAGAGCGGCUGGGGGUGGAGAUGGGCAAAGUGCAGGUUUACCAGGAACCUAACAGAGAAACGAGAGUACAAAUUCAAGAGUCCGUGAGGGGAAAAGAUGUUUUCAUCAUCCAAACCGUUUCAAAGGAUGUGAACACCACCAUCAUGGAGCUCCUGAUCAUGGUGUAUGCAUGUAAGACCUCUUGUGCCAAGAGCAUCAUCGGCGUGAUACCUUACUUUCCUUACAGCAAGCAGUGCAAGAUGAGAAAAAGAGGCUCUAUUGUCUCUAAAUUGCUGGCUUCCAUGAUGUGCAAAGCUGGUCUAACUCAUCUUAUUACUAUGGAUUUACACCAGAAGGAAAUUCAGGGCUUCUUCAAUAUUCCUGUUGACAAUUUAAGAGCAUCUCCCUUCUUAUUACAGUAUAUUCAAGAAGAGAUCCCAGAUUACAGGAAUGCAGUAAUCGUGGCCAAGUCUCCAGCAUCGGCGAAGAGGGCACAGUCUUUUGCUGAGCGCCUGCGCCUGGGAAUUGCAGUGAUUCAUGGAGAGGCGCAGGAUGCCGAGUCGGACUUGGUGGAUGGACGGCAUUCCCCACCCAUGGUCAGAAGUGUGGCUGCCAUCCACCCCAGCCUGGAGAUCCCCAUGCUGAUUCCUAAAGAAAAGCCCCCAAUCACAGUUGUGGGUGAUGUUGGAGGAAGGAUUGCCAUCAUCGUGGAUGACAUCAUUGAUGACGUCGACAGCUUUCUUGCUGCAGCAGAGACCCUGAAGGAAAGAGGUGCAUAUAAGAUCUUUGUGAUGGCAACUCAUGGCUUGUUGUCUUCUGACGCCCCCCGGCUGAUUGAAGAGUCUGCCAUUGAUGAGGUAGUGGUCACUAAUACAAUUCCACAUGAAGUCCAGAAGCUCCAGUGCCCCAAGAUUAAAACCGUGGAUAUCAGCAUGAUCCUUUCAGAGGCGAUCCGUCGGAUCCACAAUGGGGAGUCCAUGUCCUACCUUUUCAGAAACAUAGGCUUAGAUGACUGAACAGCUUUCCUUUAGGAAAACUCCCGAGGGCCAAACUGGAAACAUAAGAGUGACUGCUUGGUGGGAUAGAUUUCACAGGAACCGUCAUGUUUGUUCUUCCCUCUCCCCUGUAACCUCUCUUCUUGUUGAUUCCUAUGAAGAUAGACCAACUUUUUAUGUCGGUUUAGGUGUUCGUGAGUUUGGGGAGCCAUUUUUAUAAAAGAAAAACUUUAUUCUCCUCUUUUGAAAAGCAUUGUGCGGGGAUGACAAUUUGUCCAAGGCCCUGAAAGUUCCCGACGUGUAGUCAUUUGACUGAGGAGGGAGAGGAGUUGGAAUCUCAGGAUGCAAGGCCGCAGGCAGCAGGGGAACCAGUGAGCACCAUCUGCCAUUGGUCUUGGUGUGGCUUUGCCUCUCUUCCACGGCUGGCUGUUCUCUGUCAUGCUCUAGGGAGAUGAGAUGCUGGGAGAUGCGUCCCAAAGGGCAAGUGACAUGCCCUUGUUGCUAUCAAGGGUCUAAAUAUCAUCUGUCUUUAGCAUUUAGGACCCUGAACUUCCCCACAGAGUCCAUUGGACUCUCCUCCCCUGGAGCACUGGCACUGGGGUUUACACCCACCUGUCCUCCCACUCAGCCUGACUUACGAAGGAAAAUGUAGACUUGCUCAUAAAAACUAAUUUUUCUUCCUCCCCAAACACCUUAAACCUUUGCUUUCUGCUUUUCUUGUUAGAAUCUGGAAUAAAAUAGUAGUUUAUUUAGCACAAAAUUAAGAUCAGUCACCAGCCAUGCUGGCCUUCCCUGUGCUCCACAGAGAGCAGCAUGGCCCGUGGGCUUGCCCCAGUAGGCCAGGGCCUUGUUUGUGCAGAAGCACCAAGGGCUUUGCUUCUGGAAGCUGCCCAAGUAUUCCAUGGGCUCCUGCACCCCCAGCAGUGCCACCUUCACACCUAGUUUACUUCUGAGGAAACAGCUUUGGGGGAAAGGUGUUCUCUCCCCACGUUUUCAAGUCCAGUUAAUGAUAGAGCUAUUUACUUUGAAAAAGUGUCCUUGCUUUCUGUGAACCUGUUCCUAGAAAUGGGGCCUCUCGAUCUUCGGAAUGAAUUGGCUUAGGCCAUGGGAUGGGAGCUGGCGGCUUCUUUGCCAGGGCAGCUCUGUCCGUUGCAGGCUGGAGACCACCCGGUUUCUACAUUUGGAAGAAGAGCUUUGGGAGCAAGGUGUCACCGCCCAUGAGAUUGGAGCCUGCCUGUGGUGCCGGGACCUCCCACUGUUGCUGUGAAAUGAGCUGAAGAGGCUUCAGUAAGUCUCACAGCUCCAGCCUCUGCUGGGUUUGGGUUUUUUCCUACCUUCUGCUCUUUGGAUGCUAUCUAACCAUUUGCUACUAUAGAUGACGAUUGAAGUUUGACAUGUGGUUUGGCUUUAUACCAAGUGACAGGCACUUCCUGAACAGCCAUGGGGCGUCCCCUGGGGUGGCUGUGCUGACACAGUGGCCCUCCAUGGUUUGGGAAUGGUGGUGCUGCACUAGCAGGGAGGACGGGUUCUGCUCUGGGUUCCUGGGAGAUGCAGUGGACUCUCAAGCUCCUUCAGUGGGAGGUUUCCUCCUGCCACUGUGUCCAGGGAACUUUGACCUCCGUGGUUUUUCCUGGCAUGUCAUCCUUCAUGAAGAAAAGUCAUAUUUACAGAAGUGAAUGGAAACAUGUUUUAUGGGAGUGUUUUCUUCUGGGUAAUGAACUUGGCUAAAGCUAGGAUCCUUCACACCCACAGAGACUCGAGGGUCUGCUCUGAGUUGGCUCUGGAAGAACGUGAAGAUGAGUGCCGGGAGGAGCCACGGGCGGGGCGUGUGCCAGGGGAUGGCUGACAGAGGGCUGAGGCCAGGAAAGACAAUUGGCAGAUGAUGGUGGGGGAGAGUGGAGUGCCACGUCCUGGCCUGCCGGGCUGGGGCAGGAGGAUGGAGGCCCUCAAGGGGCAAGUCAGGUGCCCAGUAAGGACACCCAGACCUCUCAGCCACCCCCUUCCCUGUCUAGAGGAGGCCCUGGAUACAGUUUCUCCAUGUAUUGUAGGCUUUUCUUUGGCCAAAGAAGCCAUUUACCCUCUAGACUACUGUCUUUGCUAAAGACAGAGACAGUCUCUGUGGCCAGAGAUAAUAGUGAAGUGAACCCAGAAAUUCUAUGACAGAAAACAGGCUAAUCGUUUCCAGUUCUGACUGUGACGUCAUCGCUUGACAGAUGUGAUUAGAGCAAUGCUUUCGAGGCAUCAAGAGCACACAGGAUGCCACCAAAGGGCAUGAGUGGAUGGACAAAUACCAGUUCCACCACACUGGCACAUUAAUCUUUUGGCUCUCGCUGUUUAUUACCUCUAAGGCUGAGGAGGGAGGAUUGCUUGAACCCGGGAGGUGGAGGUUGCAAUGAGUCGAGAUCAUGCCACUGCACUCCAACCUGGGCAACAGAGCAAGACCCCAUCUCAAAAAAAAGUUGUAGAAUUCAACACCUACUUUUAACAGAUCAACCAGACAAAAGAUCAAUAAGGAAAGAGAUCACACCACUGUACUCCAUGCUGGUGACAGAGUGAGACUGUCUCAAGAAAAAAAAAAAGGCUGAAAUGCUAAAUUUUAUGUUGUACAUAUUGUGUACUUUAUAAAACAUUGUUGGAAGAAAUUAAAGACGACUUAAAUAGGAAGACA